AGUUUGAUCCUGGCUCAGAACGAACGCUGGCGGCAGGCUUAACACAUGCAAGUCGAACGCCCCGCAAGGGGAGUGGCAGACGGGUGAGUAACGCGUGGGAAUCUACCCAUCUCUGCGGAAUAGCUCUGGGAAACUGGAAUUAAUACCGCAUACGCCCUACGGGGGAAAGAUUUAUCGGGGAAGGAUUGGCCCGCGUUGGAUUAGCUAGUUGGUGGGGUAAAGGCCUACCAAGGCGACGAUCCAUAGCUGGUCUGAGAGGAUGAUCAGCCACAUUGGGACUGAGACACGGCCCAAACUCCUACGGGAGGCAGCAGUGGGGAAUAUUGGACAAUGGGCGCAAGCCUGAUCCAGCCAUGCCGCGUGAGUGAUGAAGGCCUUAGGGUUGUAAAGCUCUUUUACCCGGGAUGAUAAUGACAGUACCGGGAGAAUAAGCCCCGGCUAACUCCGUGCCAGCAGCCGCGGUAA
rnacentral:rRNA from 1 species